UUAGCUGUAGAACUAAGGAUGAUCUUC
rnacentral:piRNA from 1 species